CCUACGGGAGGCAGCAGUGAGGAAUCUUCCACAAUGGGCGAAAGCCUGAUGGAGCAACGCCGCGUGAAGGAUGAAGGCCCUCGGGUUGUAAACUUCUUUUAUAAGUGAAGAAUAUGACGGUAACUUAUGAAUAAGCACCGGCUAACUACGUGCCAGCAGCCGCGGUCAUACGUAGGGUGCAAGCAUUAUCCGGAGUGACUGGGCGUAAAGAGUUGCGUAGGUGGUUUGUUAAGUAGGUAGUGAAAUCUGGCGGCUCAACCGUACAGGCUAUUACCCAAACUGGCAAACUCGAGAAUGGUAGAGGUAACUGGAAUUUCUUGUGUAGGAGUGAAAUCCGUAGAUAUAAGAAGGAACACCAAUGGCGUAGGCAUGUUACUGGACCAUUUCUGACACUGAGGCACGAAAGCGUGGGGAGCGAACGGGAUUAGAUACCCGUGUAGUC
rnacentral:rRNA from 1 species